CCGCCGCGGUACCCCAGCGCCACAGUGGGAACCACGUUUAUUGGGUCUAAAGCAUCCGUAGCCGGUCUGGCAAAUGCCCUGUGAAAUCGUCCCGCUUAACGGAACGGCGUGCAGGGUAGACUACCAGACUAGGGACCGGGAGAAGCAAACGGUAUUCCUGAGGGAGCGGUAAAAUGUGAUAAUCUCAGGAGGACCACCGAUGGCGAAGGCAGUUUGCUAUAACGGAUCCGACGGUGAGGGAUGAAAGCUAGGGGAGCGAUCCGGAUUAGAUACCCGAGUAGUCCUAGCUGUAAACUCUGUGUGCCAGAUGUUGCGUAAUCUCCGAGAUUGCGCAGUGUCGAAACGAAGGUGUUAAGCACACCACCUGGGAAGUACGGUCGCAAGGCUGAAACUUAAAGGAAUUGGCGGGGGAGCACCACAACAGGUGCGGCGUGCGGUUUAAUCGUAUUCAACGCCGAGAAUCUCACCAGAGGCGACGGCAGAAUGAUGCUCAGUCCGAAGGGCUUAGCUGACGAGCCGAGAGGUGGUGCAUGGCCGCCGUCAGCUCGUGCCGUGAGGUGUCCUGUUAAGUCAGGCAACGAGCGAGACCUGUAUCCAUCGUUGCUAACGCGUUCGUAAGAAUGAGCGAGCACACUAUGGAGACUGCCUGGGAAACCAGGAGGAAGGUGCAGGCUACGGCAGGUCCGUAUGCCCCGAAUCUUCUGGGCUACACGCGCGCAACAAUGGCUGCGACAAUGGGAUGCGACUCCGAAAGGAGAAGCCAAUCCUCGAAACGCAGUCUUAGUGUAGAUUGAGGCUUGUAACUCAGCCUCAUGACACCGGAAUCUGUAGUAAUCGGAGGUUAUCAUCUUCCGGUGAAUUUGUCCCUGCUCCUUGCA
rnacentral:rRNA from 1 species